UCACCUACGGGGGGCUGCAGUGGGGAAUAUUGCACAAUGGGCGCAAGCCUGAUGCAGCAACGCCGCGUGAGGGAUGACGGCCUUCGGGUUGUAAACCUCUUUUAGUAGGGAAGAAGCGAAAGUGACGGUACCUGCAGAAAAAGCACCGGCUAACUACGUGCCAGCAGCCGCGGUAAUACGUAGGGUGCAAGCGUUGUCCGGAAUUAUUGGGCGUAAAGAGCUCGUAGGCGGCUUGUCGCGUCUGCUGUGAAAUCCCGAGGUUCAACCUCGGGCCUGCAGUGGGUACGGGCAGGCUAGAGUGCGGUAGGGGAGAUUGGAAUUCCUGGUGUAGCGGUGGAAUGCGCAGAUAUCAGGAGGAACACCGAUGGCGAAGGCAGAUCUCUGGGCCGUAACUGACGCUGAGGAGCGAAAGCAUGGGGAGCGAACAGGAUUAGAUACCCGAGUAGUC
rnacentral:rRNA from 1 species